CUGCCAGGCGUUGGGAAGCUGUCAGAGACAGCGACAGAUUUUUUCAGAUGGAAAUCCUGAUUUUUGUCUGAAAGUUCAAAUUUCAUCAUUAGCACCAAAUACUGUCAGGUGUUUUCCUCAAAGUGAGAGGUUCACUUUGCUCAUUUUUGAGAAAAUAUAUGCCCAAUACUGAGGCCUGGGUAACUACAGUUUUUCUGUCAGUCAUUCUUUCAAAUAGAAUUAGUGUUUGAUGUGGAAGAGGAGCAGUGAGCUGCAGAGCUCAGGCCCUCCUCCAGGUGCCUGGCGUCCGGCGUGAGCAGAAGGCCGACUGUCUGUGUCCUGUUUCGUUAACAGAAUAUUCACAAGAUGUGAAGGAUUGAGAUUGAAAAGAUGACACUUCCACUGCUUCAUCAAGGACAUGUGUCAGUGAAGGUGGCUUUUUGUUUCUCGCUGAGUGCGAAGACAUCGAGAGGGUGGCACUGAGGAAGACGCUGGAGGAGAUGCCCUGGGGAGGGCCUGGGUUAGCUCCUGCGGGAGGCACUGCCCAGCCAGGCCCCGCCAUCGACUGUUUCCCAUGCAGGCGCCGGCAGUUUGACAAUGUUGGAGCGGCUUCUGCCACCUCCCUGUGAUGCCAACACCGAGAACUCAGCCAACAUCAUCUGAGUAUCUGUGAUGCAGAUUUUACCUUCUGAACCUCUGAAAGGGUCUUGGCCCCGCAGUGGUGCCGCCCACAUCCCGAGACCUACUGGUCCAAAGGUUGAGGGCCGGAGAGGGGCCAUGAGGACCCCAGGGCAGGAGACUCAGGAGACAGUGUCCGCUCCAGCUAACCCUGGUCCAGAACACACACCCAUCCACGCUGCCGCCAGGAGCCAGGAGCGGCUGGGCUGCCCAGCAGAGCUCCCCUGUGUCUAUAAGGACCCCUGCGUCCCAUCAGGACCCCCUGUGUCUGGUAAGGACCCCCUCUGCUUCAUAGGGACCCCUGUGUCUCUUAGGGACCCCCUGUGUCUGGUAAGGACCUCUUGUGUCUCACAAGGACCCCCUGUGUCUGGUAAGGACUCCUGUGUCUCACAGGGACCCCCUGUGUCUGGUAAGGACCCCUGUGUCUCAUAGGGAUCCCCUGUGUCUGGUAAGAACCUCUUGUGUCUCACAAGGACCCCCUGUGUUUGGUAAGAAACUCCUGCGUUUGUGCUGUAUCUGAAAGCAUCUCAGCCUCCCGCUUCCUCUGCAAGCAGAGUUCUUAGCUGGCACCCCUUACAUGGAAGAGAAGACAGAAACGCAGGGGUUGAAGCAGCAGGCUCGCCCUGAGGCCAGGCUCACGUGUACACAGGACACAGAACCACAUACAGGUAUUCAGAGAAAACGCCCCCCACCCCCGGGUCACGAACAGCCAUUUAUGAGGGGAGCACGCAUCUCAUGGCUACCAGACGCUGCUCCCACACUCACUCAAACCAACAGGAGACAUCUAAAGUGUUUAAGGCCAACUUGGGUGGUGUAAGUUACUUUAACAAAAGAUUUAUUUUGUUUACAUGUAUCACCAUGACAAAUCCAUUCUCUGCAAAGUGAGGAGUUUUAGAAUAUUGUGAUCGAACCGGAAAGAGCUCCCCACCCCCAAACCCCAACCCCCAGAUCCCCCACCCCCAGGGUCUCCCACCCCCCCAGGCUCCCCACCCCCUGGGCUCUGAGCUUCAGCCUCUGCAGUGCCGGGAAACGAGGCCAUUGAAGCCAGCUCCUGGGUGUGCCCUCUUCAUCCACACACAGCCCGCCCCGACGACAUGCUAGAGAGCCCCCCGAAUGCUGAACUUGGAGCCGGAAUGGGGAGGAGUGGCCUGAGUGUCGUCUCCGCUCUCAUUGUUUCUAUCAG
rnacentral:lncRNA from 13 species